GGAUGCGAUCAUAACAGCACUAAAGCACCGGAUCCCAUCAGAACUCCGAAGUUAAGCGUGCUUGGGCGAGAAUACUACUAGGAUGGGUUACCUCCUGGGAAGUCCUCGUGUUGCAUUCC
rnacentral:rRNA from 1 species